UCAAACAGCCCAACCCGUACGAUCACCGAAGUUAAGCAACGUCGAGCCUGCUUAGUAUGUAGAUGAUUAACCGCUUGGGAAUUUCAGGUGCUGUAAG